GUGAGGAAUAUUGCGCAAUGGAGGCAACUCUGACGCAGCCAUGCCGCGUGCAGGAAGAAGGCGCUACGCGUUGUAAACUGCUUUUAACCGGGAAGAAACCCCAGGACGUGUCCUGGGUUGACGGUACCGGAGGAAUAAGCACCGGCUAACUUCGUGCCAGCAGCCGCGGUAAUACGAAGGGUGCAAGCGUUAUCCGGAUUCAUUGGGUUUAAAGGGUGCGUAGGCGGAGCGUUAAGUCAGUGGUGAAAUCCUGCAGCUUAACUGUAGACUUGCCAUUGAUACUGGCGCUCUUGAGUGCACUUGAAGUGGGCGGAAUGUGCCGUGUAGCGGUGAAAUGCUUAGAUAUGGCACAGAACACCAAUUGCGAAGGCAGCUCACUAAGGCGAUACUGACGCUGAGGCACGAAAGCGUGGGGAUCGAACAGGAUUAGAAACCCUUGUAGUCC
rnacentral:rRNA from 1 species